rnacentral:rRNA from 1 species
UACGUAGGGGACAAGCGUUGUCCGGAAUUAUUGGGCGUAAAGGGCGCGUAGGCGGCCGCUUGAGUCCCUGCGUGAAAUCUCCCGGCUCAACCGGGAGGGUGCGCGGGAUACUGGGCGGCUUGAGGACAUCAGAGGAGAGCGGAAUCCCCGGUGUAGUGGUGAAAUGCGUAGAUAUCUGGAGGAACACCGGUGGCGAAGGCGGCAUCCUGGACCAAUACUGACGCUGAGGAGCGAAAGCCAGGGGAGCAAACAGG